GGUUAAGCGACUAAGCGUACACGGUGGAUGCCCUGGCAGUCAGAGGCGAUGAAGGACGUGCUAAUCUGCGAAAAGCGUCGGUAAGGUGAUAUGAACCGUUAUAACCGGCGAUGUCCGAAUGGGGAAACCCAGUGCAAUUCGUUGCACUAUCGUUAACUGAAUACAUAGGUUAACGAGGCGAACCGGGGGAACUGAAACAUCUAAGUACCCCGAGGAAAAGAAAUCAACCGAGAUUCCCCCAGUAGCGGCGAGCGAACGGGGAGCAGCCCAGAGUCUGAAUCAGCUUGUGUGUUAGUGGAACGGUCUGGAAAGUCCGACGGUACAGGGUGAUAGUCCCGUACACCAAAAUGCACAGGCUGUGAACUCGAAGAGUAGGGCGGGACACGUGGUAUCCUGUCUGAAUAUGGGGGGACCAUCCUCCAAGGCUAAAUACUCCUGACUGACCGAUAGUGAACCAGUACCGUGAGGGAAAGGCGAAAAGAACCCCGGCGAGGGGAGUGAAAAAGAACCUGAAACCGUGUACGUACAAGCAGUGGGAGCACCUUCGGGUGUGACUGCGUACCUUUUGUAUAAUGGGUCAGCGACUUAUAUUCUGUAGCAAGGUUAACCGUAUAGGGGAGCCGCAGGGAAACCGAGUCUUAACUGGGCGUUAAGUUGCAGGGUAUAGACCCGAAACCCGGUGAUCUAGCCAUGGGCAGGUUGAAGGUUGGGUAACACUAACUGGAGGACCGAACCGACUAAUGUUGAAAAAUUAGCGGAUGACUUGUGGCUGGGGGUGAAAGGCCAAUCAAACCGGGAGAUAGCUGGUUCUCCCCGAAAGCUAUUUAGGUAGCGCCUCGUGAAUUCAUCUUCGGGGGUAGAGCACUGUUUCGGCUAGGGGGUCAUCCCGACUUACCAACCCGAUGCAAACUACGAAUACCGAAGAAUGUUAUCACGGGAGACACACGGCGGGUGCUAACGUCCGUCGUGAAGAGGGAAACAACCCAGACCGCCAGCUAAGGUCCCAAAGUCAUGGUUAAGUGGGAAACGAUGUGGGAAGGCACAGACAGCCAGGAUGUUGGCUUAGAAGCAGCCAUCAUUUAAAGAAAGCGUAAUAGCUCACUGGUCGAGUCGGCCUGCGCGGAAGAUGUAACGGGGCUAAACCAUGCACCGAAGCUGCGGCAGCGACACUAUGUGUUGUUGGGUAGGGGAGCGUUCUGUAAGCCUGCGAAGGUGUGCUGUGAGGCAUGCUGGAGGUAUCAGAAGUGCGAAUGCUGACAUAAGUAACGAUAAAGCGGGUGAAAAGCCCGCUCGCCGGAAGACCAAGGGUUCCUGUCCAACGUUAAUCGGGGCAGGGUGAGUCGACCCCUAAGGCGAGGCCGAAAGGCGUAGUCGAUGGGAAACAGGUUAAUAUUCCUGUACUUGGUGUUACUGCGAAGGGGGGACGGAGAAGGCUAUGUUAGCCGGGCGACGGUUGUCCCGGUUUAAGCAUGUAGGCUGGUUAUCCAGGCAAAUCCGGAUAAUCAAGGCUGAGGUGUGAUGACGAGGCACUACGGUGCUGAAGUAACAAAUGCCCUGCUUCCAGGAAAAGCCUCUAAGCAUCAGGUAACAUCAAAUCGUACCCCAAACCGACACAGGUGGUCAGGUAGAGAAUACCAAGGCGCUUGAGAGAACUCGGGUGAAGGAACUAGGCAAAAUGGUGCCGUAACUUCGGGAGAAGGCACGCUGGUGUGUAGGUGAAGCCCCUGCGGGUGGAGCUGAGACCAGUCGAAGAUACCAGCUGGCUGCAACUGUUUAUUAAAAACACAGCACUGUGCAAACACGAAAGUGGACGUAUACGGUGUGACGCCUGCCCGGUGCCGGAAGGUUAAUUGAUGGGGUUAUCCGUAAGGAGAAGCUCUUGAUCGAAGCCCCGGUAAACGGCGGCCGUAACUAUAACGGUCCUAAGGUAGCGAAAUUCCUUGUCGGGUAAGUUCCGACCUGCACGAAUGGCGUAAUGAUGGCCAGGCUGUCUCCACCCGAGACUCAGUGAAAUUGAACUCGCUGUGAAGAUGCAGUGUACCCGCGGCAAGACGGAAAGACCCCGUGAACCUUUACUAUAGCUUGACACUGAACAUUGAGCCUUGAUGUGUAGGAUAGGUGGGAGGCUUUGAAGCGUGGACGCCAGUCUGCGUGGAGCCAACCUUGAAAUACCACCCUUUAAUGUUUGAUGUUCUAACGUUGGCCCCUUACCGGGGUUGCGGACAGUGUCUGGUGGGUAGUUUGACUGGGGCGGUCUCCUCCCAAAGCGUAACGGAGGAGCACGAAGGUUAGCUAAUCCUGGUCGGACAUCAGGAGGUUAGUGCAAUGGCAUAAGCUAGCUUGACUGCGAGCGUGACGGCGCGAGCAGGUGCGAAAGCAGGUCAUAGUGAUCCGGUGGUUCUGAAUGGAAGGGCCAUCGCUCAACGGAUAAAAGGUACUCCGGGGAUAACAGGCUGAUACCGCCCAAGAGUUCAUAUCGACGGCGGUGUUUGGCACCUCGAUGUCGGCUCAUCACAUCCUGGGGCUGAAGUAGGUCCCAAGGGUAUGGCUGUUCGCCAUUUAAAGUGGUACGCGAGCUGGGUUUAGAACGUCGUGAGACAGUUCGGUCCCUAUCUGCCGUGGGCGCUGGAGAAUUGAGGGGGGCUGCUCCUAGUACGAGAGGACCGGAGUGGACGCAUCACUGGUGUUCGGGUUGUCAUGCCAAUGGCACUGCCCGGUAGCUAAAUGCGGAAGAGAUAAGUGCUGAAAGCAUCUAAGCACGAAACUUGCCCCGAGAUGAGUUCUCCCUGAGACUUUAAGUCUCCUGAAGGAACGUUGAAGACGACGACGUUGAUAGGCCGGGUGUGUAAGCGCAGCGAUGCGUUGAGCUAACCGGUACUAAUGAACCGUGAGGCUUAACCUU
rnacentral:rRNA from 1 species